GGUUUUAAUAAAUUUGGGAUAUGUAAUUAGAUCGUAAACUAUCAUCUCCACAUAGGUUUUUGUUUUAUUUUUAGAAUUAUUCAUGUGAGCCGGAAACAGAUUUAGGAUUUUUAUAACCUAAUUUUUCGACGAAACUAGGAGAACCAAGACAUAUUCAAAACCGAUCAAGUUAGCAAUUAAAUCACUAGUUAAAAAAAAAUUUCAAACAUGCAAAUUUCAAAUCUAUAUCCUGCACCACACCAAAACAUCUCGCCACACACCUGCUUCUUAAAGGAGACUUCACUCAACACAUUUGUCUUAAGAGAAGACAGUUUUAACCUCCCUAUCAACUGAGAGCAAUUGUUACGCAUCCUUUGCCUGACCCUCUGCCAAACCUUGCCAAGAGCCUCCUCCCUUGACACAUGACUUGUUUGAGUCUAAGUGAUAAGGAAUAAGGCAGAUGAAUGAGGAAGUGGAUCAUAAAGUUUGUCAAAAUCGCAAAUUUGACUUAGGGCUCUAGACAUUUGGAAAGAAACUUGGAUUUUGACACAACCUGAAACACAAUCAAAUCCAAGUUAGAUAAAGCAAUUAAAAUAAAUAACUAAGAUAGUUAAAAUAUAAUAAUAAAUCUACGAUUAGAAAAAUAAGGAAGAAAAUAAAGAAGAUAGAUGAAAAGAUAGAACGUGGUAUGUAAAAGUCCUAAAAAGUCUUGGAAAUACAAAAAAUCUAUAACCCCCUUCAAGCGGCUCUAAUUUUCCCUCCAAGAAAGAAAGUUUGGCAAGAAAAAUUUUGAAGUUGAUCCCCAUAAUCUGAAAAGAUUAUUAAAACUCUUCUAAAAGAAACUCAAGAGAAAUUCUUGAAAAAAAAAACUCAAAGAGAAUUUAUUAACUCAAGAGAGAAGUUGAAUAAUAAUGAAUUGAAUGAUUUGUGUACAAUUUGACCUUUCAUAGGCUGAGCCACCCGGCCCAUCCUGAAAGCCCACCCAAAAAGUGAGAGGGUGUGAGUAAAAAUAUAGGCCCGAAGAAUAGACUUGGGUAAAAAAAUAAGACCCGUUUAGAAAAUGAGCUGAGUCUCAAGCAAGGUUUUUUUGGCCUGAGCCUAACCCAGCCCAAAUAUACAAAAAAUUUGUUGCUUUUUUUAUUGUUCUUGCUUCUUCUUUUUUUGCUAUUUUCUUGUUGCUUUUUUUUCCUCCACUAUUUUGCUACUAUUUCACUAUUUUGUUGUUAUUGUUUGGAUAUUGUAUAACUUUUGUUUUAUUGUUAAUUUUGUUACUAUUUUAGAGGCAUUUGCUUGUUAAGUUGCACCUAUCUUAGUCUUAUUUAAGUGUACAUAUUAUUUUUUUAAUUUAAUUUGUUGGGAGAUAUUUAUUUUAAUGUUUUUAGUAUUUUUGAUGUAUUAUAUAUGAGCAAGCCCAAAUUUGCCCGGGGCCCAUUAACCCAAAAACAGGAGGCCCAAAAAAUAAAUUGGCCCAAUUGGGCCCAAAAAUUAAAAAAACAUCAGGGAACCCUAGGGUUCCUUGCCUUUCCAGCGCCGCUUCUCUAUCCCGCUCCCAUGUGCGUCGUACGCUGCUGUCAUACCUACCCUCUGCUCGUACCAGCCCACCAUCACGUCCUCUCCGCAUCUCUGACUCACUGUAAAGAAGAAAAACACGCAACCAGGCAUAGAGACAGACCACAAACAGGGGAAAGGGGGACUAAUUUAUUUUUUUCUCUCUUCUUAUUUCGGUUAUAAAAUCGACUAUUGUAAAAACAGAGGGGGGAUUUUUUUUCACUUUUUUUUCUUUUCCUUUCGGCAAAAGCCGAAUUUACUGUAAAAGAAGAAAGGCUUUUCUCUUCUUUUGGGUUUUGCUAGGAACAUUAAGAAAUAAAAAAAUCAGAAACCAAGGUGAUUAGUUUUUUUUUUAUUUUCUCUAUCUUUUAAAUUUUUUUCUUUGCGAUUUUGCUUUUUUUUAUUUUUAUCUAUAUUCGGGAACAAUAAAAAAGGGAAAGGGUACUCACCUGAGCACCGUAUUUUCGUCGUCGGAGUCCCUCCUCUCCAUUGCUGAAGUCGGGCAUAAAGAGUGAAGGGACCCCUUUUCCUUCUUAUCUUUUUCUCGUAGAGGAGAGGGACCGAAAGCUCUGUCCCGCGUGACGCUCGUCGCCGUUCUUGGGGGGCGCCGUGACGGUGCACGGUGGUCUGGUUUUUGGUCCCCUAAAGACUUGGUCGAAAACCUAAUGGAGAAAGGUGGGGCAUUUUUUUGUUUUGUUAAAGAGAACAGGCAGCAAAUGAAAGGAAAAUGGCAGCUCUUAUUAUGGCAAAACGGCGUCGUUUGGUGCCAGAUUCAAUGGCCCAAAACGGCGUCGUAUGGAGGGCCAACCCGACCCGCUCCAGGGGGGAUCCGCACGUUUUCAUAAAAUGGGUUAUUUGCAAUCCAGGUCCUUCCACGUUUAUGUGCCUUUUAAUUUACUCCUUUGUUUUUUUUUUACAUUUGGCCCCGAAAUUUUAUUUCAUUUUCAAUCGGGUCCCUGACCCGCUGACGCACUAAAAAGGGACACGUGGCUGGAUGUGGGAUUAUUUCCCAUUUGCCCCUCCUAGUUUUUCAGCGCGUUCGAUGGGGUCCUCUAAUUUAUUUGCGAUUUGUUCCCAAAUUUUAUUUUUUGUAUUCAAUUUAGCCCUCUGUUUAUAUCUUGGUUAUUUUAUUAUUAAAACUAAUAAGUUAUUAUUAUUAUUAUUAUUAUUAUUAUUAUUAUUAUCUAUGUCUUGUUAAUCUCAAAUUUUAUUUUAUAUAUAUAUAUAUGCGCAUACAUACAUAUUUAUAAUAUAUACACGUACAUAACCCUUUUUUUAUAUUUAUAUAUAUAAAUACUUAUAUGUUAUAUAUAGUUUACACUUCAUAUAUAUAUGUACGCAUAUGCAUAAAUUUUUCAAUUUACAUCUAUAUACGUUCAUAUAAUUUAUAAUUUAAAUAUAUAGAUACACAUACAUAAAUAUCUCAUCUUUUAUAAUUCGUAUUGUUAUCGUUGUUUUAUUUGAUAUUUAUUUAUUCAUUUAUUGAAGUGUUCAUUAUUUUUGUGAAAUGCUUUAGAUUUUUUAUUCAUUUUUUAUUUCAUCUAUCUUUGAUUCGUUUAUUAUGUAUUUUAUUUGUUGCUCAUUUUAGUUGUGCUUGUA
rnacentral:lncRNA from 1 species